rnacentral:tRNA from 1 species
UUAGCCCACGGUGACCUCUCGUUUACACCGAGAAUGUCGGGGGUUCGAGUCCCUCAGCGCCCA